GGUCUCAUGGUGUAAUGGUUAGCACCCUGGACUUUGAAUCCAGAGAUCCGAGUUCGAGUCUCGGUGAGACCU